GAUGAACGCUAGCGGAAGGCAUAAUACAUGCAAGUCGAACGGAUGUAGCAAUACAUUAGUGGCGCACGGGUGCGUAACGCGUAUGCAACCUACCUUCAUCAGGGGGAUAACUACCCGAAAGGGUGGCUAACACCGCAUAAUACUAUUGAGUGGCAUCACUUGAUAUUUGAAUCUGAGGAGGAUGAAGAUGGGCAUGCGUCUGAUUAGCUAGUUGGUGUGGCAACGGCGCACCAAGGCGACGAUCAGUAGGGGAACUGAGAGGUUGGUCCCCCACACUGGCACUGAGAUACGGGCCAGACUCCUACGGGAGGCAGCAGUAGGGAAUAUUGGUCAAUGGUGGGAACACUGAACCAGCCAUUCCGCGUGCAGGAAGAAGGGUCUCUGACUUGUAAACUGCUUUAGCAAGGGAAGAAAAAGCUCAUGCGUGAGAAAUUGACGGUACCUUGAGAAUAAGCACCGGCCAACUACGUGCCAGCCGCCGCCGUAAAAC
rnacentral:rRNA from 1 species